UACGGAGGGGGCAAGCGUUAUUCGGAAUUAUUGGGCGUAAAGGGCGCGUAGGCGGCUAGAUGUGUCAAAGGUGAAAUCCCUCGGCUCAACUGAGGAACUGCCUUUGAAACUGUCUGGCUUGAGGCCGGGAGAGGGUAGCGUAAUUCCCAGUGUAGCGGUGAAAUGCGUAGAUAUUGGGAGGAACACCAGUGGCGAAGGCGGCUACCUGGACCGGUUCUGACGCUGAGGCGCGAAAGCGUGGGGAGCAAACAGG
rnacentral:rRNA from 1 species